rnacentral:rRNA from 1 species
GCAAGCGGACCUCAUAAAGUGCGUCGUAGUCCGGAUUGGAGUCUGCAACUCGACUCCAUGAAGUCGGAAUCGCUAGUAAUCGUGGAUCAGAAUGCCACGGUGAAUACGUUCCCGGGCCUUGUACACACCGCCCGUCACACCAUGGGAGUGGGUUGCAAAAGAAGUAGGUAGCUUAACCUUCGGGAGAGCGCUUACCACUUUGUGAUUCAUGACUGGGGUGAAGUCGUAACAAGGUAACCGUAGGGGAACCUGCGGUUGGAUCACCUCCUUA